rnacentral:rRNA from 1 species
GAUGAACGCUGGCGGCGUGCCUAAUACAUGCAAGUCGAGCGAACAGACGAGGAGCUUGCUCCUCUGACGUUAGCGGCGGACGGGUGAGUAACACGUGGAUAACCUACUUAUAAGACUGGGAUAACUUCGGGAAACCGGAGCUAAUACCGGAUAAUAUAUUGAACCGCAUGGUUCAAUAGUGAAAGACGGUUUUGCUGUCACUUAUAGAUGGAUCCGCGCCGCAUUAGCUAGUUGGUAAGGUAACGGCUUACCAAGGCGACGAUGCGUAGCCGACCUGAGAGGGUGAUCAGCCACACUGGAACUGAGACACGGUCCAGACUCCUACGGGAGGCAGCAGUAGGGAAUAUUCGACAAAGGGCGAAAGCCUGACGGAGCAACGCCGCGUGAGUGAUGAAGGUCUUCGGAUCGUAAAGCUCUGUUAUUAGGAAAGAACAAAAGUGUAAGUAACUAUGCACGUCUUGACGGUACCUAAACAGAAAGCCACGGCUAACUACGUG